rnacentral:rRNA from 1 species
AUGGAGCUGCUAACGUGGAGGUUUGAGAUUGGAUUAAACAGGUGGGAAGGGGUCCACCCCCUGAAAAUCAGGUGGGGAGAGAGUUAUGGUUUUGGAAAAUUAAGUAAAACACUCGCGCAGUGCCAGAACUUCAGGGACAGACUCUACAACGAGACCAAUAUCAACUCCGGCUUCGCGACGUCGCUCAUAGCCAACUGCCCCCAGCCGACCGGCUCCGGUGACCGUAACCUGGCCAAUCUGGACGUGUCGACCCCGUACUCCUUUGACAACGCUUACUACAGCAAGCUCAAGUCCCAGAAAGGGCUCCUACACUCCGACCAGGUGCUCUUCACGGGCACAGGUGGCGGCACCGACAACACCGUCAACAACUUCGCAAGCAACCCAGCGGCGUUCAGCAGCGCCUUCGCCUCCGCCAUGGUAAAGAUGGGGAGCCCGUUGACUGGCUCUCAGUGCCAGGUCAGGAUCAGCUGCUCCAAGGAGAAUUAA